GGGGGUAGAAUUCCAGGUGUAGCGGUGAAAUGCGUAGAGAUCUGGAGGAAUAUCGGUGGCGAAGGCGGCCCCCUGGACGAAGACUGACGCUCAGGUGCGAAAGCGUGGGGAGCAAACAGGAUUAGAUACCCUGGUAGUCCACGCCGUAAACGAUGUCGACUUGGAGGUUGUGCCCUUGAGGCGUGGCUUCCGGAGCUAACGCGUUAAGUCGACCGCCUGGGGAGUACGGCCGCAAGGUUAAAACUCAAAUGAAUUGACGGGGGCCCGCACAAGCGGUGGAGCAUGUGGUUUAAUUCGAUGCAACGCGAAGAACCUUACCUGGUCUUGACAUCCACGGAAGUUUUCAGAGAUGAGAAUGUGCCUUCGGGAACCGUGAGACAGGUGCUGCAUGGCUGUCGUCAGCUCGUGUUGUGAAAUGUUGGGUUAAGUCCCGCAACGAGCGCAACCCUUAUCCUUUGUUGCCAGCGGUC
rnacentral:rRNA from 1 species